CGCAGCCGCGGUAAUUCCAGCUCCAAUAGCGUAUAUUAAAGUUGUUGCAGUUAAAAAGCUCGUAGUUGAAUUUCGGGGUUCAUACGUUGGUCGGGCUUUUGGGUCUGUACUGGCGUAAUGGAUUCCUACCUUCUGAAUAACCGGCAUGCCAUUAAUUUGGUGCGCCGGGGAAGCAGGACUGUUACCUUGAAAAAAUUAGAGUGUUUAAAGCAGGCUUUAGCUUGAAUACAUUAGCAUGGAAUAAUGAAAUAGGACGUUUGAUCCUAUUUUGUUGGUUUCUAGGAUUGACGUAAUGAUUAAUAGGGAUAGUUGGGGGCAUUAGUAUUCAAUUGUCAGAGGUGAAAUUCUUGGAUUUAUUGAAGACUAACUACUGCGAAAGCAUUUGCCAAGGAUGUUUUCAUUAAUCAAGAACGAAAGUUAGGGGAUCGAAGACGAUCAGAUACCGUCGUAGUCUUAACCAUAAACUAUGCCGACUAGGGAUCGGAUGAUGUUAAUUUUUAAUGACUCAUUCGGCGCCUUA
rnacentral:rRNA from 1 species